UGUUUGGAUCAGGCCAUCCAAACACGGAAACCAUAAAGUAAUUAAUUGUUUUAUAAAAUAACAACUUUCCGUGUUAAAAUUUCACUUUAAAAAACUUUCACUUUAAAUUUCCGUGUUUGGAUGGCCUGAUCCAAACA